rnacentral:rRNA from 1 species
AGUGAACGCUGGCGGUAGGCCUAACACAUGCAAGUCGAACGGCAGCACAGUAAGAGCUUGCUCUUACGGGUGGCGAGUGGCGGACGGGUGAGGAAUACAUCGGAAUCUACUUUUUCGUGGGGGAUAACGUAGGGAAACUUACGCUAAUACCGCAUACGACCUACGUGUGAAAGCAGGGGAUCUUCGGACCUUGCGCGAUUGAAUGAGCCGAUGUCGGAUUAGCUAGUUGGGGGGGUAAAGGCCCACCAAGGCGACGAUCCGUAGCUGGUCUGAGAGGAUGAUCAGCCACACUGGAACUGAGACACGGUCCAGACUCCUACGGGAGGCAGCAGUGGGGAAUAUUGGACAAUGGGCGCAAGCCUGAUCCAGCCAUACCGCGUGGGUGAAGAAGGCCUUCGGGUUGUAAAGCCCUUUUGUUAGGAAAGAAAAGCAGCAGGUUAAUACCCCGCUGUUCUGACGGUACCAAAAGAAUAAGCACCGGCUAACUUCGUG